GACGAAAUGAUGGUGUGCUGCACUGGAUGAACGGAGGUGUGGUGGAUACCAGCAAGUUCUUUCUAUCCGGCGAACCACUAAACGGGGGCGGGAUCGAGAACUGCGGAGGCUUGGAAACGAGGAACGCGCAGUAUGGGAUCAACGACGUCUCCUGCGAAAUGGACUGGAGCUAUAUUUGCCAGUAUGACCAAUACGUGUACACUUUGUGGUGACGUGACAAGAGACCAACGCCUGUGUCCUGGCCCCAGUUCCACAAAGAUAUCUGAGCGCUACGACUGUCUUAACUCCCAUAGAGUACCUUAGAAUUACAUCAGAAGCAUCUGGAGAAGGAACAACGGGAACGGAGAGGAUUCUCUGCUAAAGUCCAUUUCUCGUCUCUGUCUAAAUGUUUUAGCUUGUGUGGAAUUGUGACAUUGUCUGCAUGUUAAAUGGUUAUUUAGUAGAGGGCAUUGGGUGUUUUCAGAUUUCAAAGUUUCAUUGGGUUUGCGAUUGCUGCAACAUUUGAAACCUACUCAAUAGCACAUGAUAUUGAAAAGACAUAAUGUGUUUUGACUUUGUCAGUACGAAAACCUUUUUGUAAUUUUCCAAUCUCCAAUCUGUGUGAAGACUUAACCCUUCAAAAAGUCGGGGGCACUGCGUAGUCGUCUAAGGUGCCGCAAUUCGCUGUGCAGAGUUACGUCCCAUGGGCACGCCAGAAACCUAUGAUCGUGGGUUCGAAUGCCGGUUCGCCCUGAUUAUGUUUCUAGGUUUGUCAGCACAAAACCCGUGCUCGUGGGUUUCACCAAAGUGGUAAAUGUCUGAGACUUGCAUCACUUCGGGCUUUCCUCCCACAUUCAGCUGGCACGCCGUGAUAUAACUGGAAUAUUGUUCAAAUGUGUUAAAAUUAAUUCACUCACGCACCUUCCAAAAUUCAUGUCAUUUAAAACCCUCGGUGAACUCUGACCGCCUGAUUUAAAUAAAGGGUGGUUAUUGAUGACAAUCAGAUGUCUUUACCGUCUGUGUUGGUAAAUUUCUAUUGUUACAAAGGUAAACCCACAGAGAAAACAAAUAUACCUUCGAUGGCAUGGCGCUCAGAAACGAAAGGAUGUAUAAAUAUCCCAAACAACAUAACGGUACAAUCUAUGUUCUUUUUCGAGAUGUACAAAUCAGAUAAGCUGAUCUGAAAGCUUCGUAAACUUCUUCCCAGAAGUUAGAAGCCUCGAAGUUGAUGAGAAAUUCUGGAGUGAUCGUCGGAUCCUCACUCAGAGAUGUAUCUGUUGGGAGUAAAAUAUUUGAUAUUAA